AACGAACGCUGGCGGCAGGCCUAACACAUGCAAGUCGAACGCUCCAGCAAUGGAGAGUGGCAGACGGGUGAGUAACGCGUGGGAACCUACCCUUUGGUUCGGAAUAGCCCAGGGAAACUUGGGGUAAUACCGGAUAAGCCCUUCGGGGGAAAGAUUUAUCGCCAAAGGAUGGGCCCGCGUCGGAUUAGCUAGUGGGUGGGUUAACGGCCUACCAAGGCGACGAUCCGUAGCUGGUCUGAGAGGAUGAUCAGCCACACUGGGACUGAGACACGGCCCAGACUCCUACGGGAGGCAGCAGUGGGGAAUAUUGGACAAUGGGCGCAAGCCUGAUCCAGCCAUGCCGCGUGAGUGACGAAGGUCUUCGGAUUGUAAAGCUCUUUUGGCGGGGACGAUAAUGACGGUACCCGCAGAAUAAGCCCCGGCUAACUUCGUGCCAGCCGCCGCCGUAAUAC
rnacentral:rRNA from 1 species